UCCCUGCUCGAUGCAUUCAUUUUUGAGUUAAUCACACAGAUAAUCACCUUCUCUCUUCUCAUCACCAGAGGUCUUUCUCUAAUCCAGUGGUUGUUUAUUUUAUUGUUUGCACUCCCCUUUCAUGAGAUAAGAGAUCAGAAUUCUGGUGGAAACAACAAUGAGGAUGAUAGAAGAAGAAGAAGUGAAAUAUUGACUUUAUGGAGACUGCAAAUACUUGCCUACGUGCCUGCUUUUUUUUUUUUUUGUAGGUAUGGGGGUCAUAAACCGGCUCUGUGAUUUUCAUAAAUCCGUUCAAAGGAAUCUAGCAGGGAUUGGGUUCUUUUUUUU